rnacentral:rRNA from 1 species
AGUCAAUAGAUACCCUGGUAGUCCAUGCCGUAAACGAUGAUUGCUAGGUGUGGGGGGUCUGACNCCUUCCGUGCCGGAGUUAACACAAUAAGCAAUCCACCUGGGGAGUACGGCCGCAAGGUUGAAACUCAAAGGAAUUGACGGGGGCCCGCACAAGCAGUGGAGUAUGUGGUUUAAUUUGAAGCAACGCGAAGAACCUUACCAGGUCUUGACAUCCACCGAAUCCUGUAGAGAUACGGGAGUGCCCUUCGGGGAACGGUGAGACAGGUGGUGCAUGGUUGUCGUCAGCUCGUGUCGUGAGAUGUUGGGUUAAGUCCCGCAACGAGCGCAACCCUUGUGAAUAGUUGCUACGAAA